CCUACGGGAGGCAGCAGUGGGGAAUAUUGGACAAUGGGCGCAAGCCUGAUCCAGCAAUGCCGCGUGAGUGAUGAAGGCCUUAGGGUCGUAAAGCUCUUUUACCAGGGAUGAUAAUGACAGUACCUGGAGAAUAAGUUCCGGCUAACUCCGUGCCAGCAGCCGCGGUAAUACGGAGGGAGCUAGCGUUGUUCGGAAUUACUGGGCGUAAAGCGUACGUAGGCGGUUAUUCAAGUCAGAGGUGAAAGCCCGGGGCUCAACCCCGGAACGGCCUUUGAAACUAGGUAGCUAGAAUCUUGGAGAGGUCAGUGGAAUUCCGAGUGUAGAGGUGAAAUUCGUAGAUAUUCGGAAGAACACCAGUGGCGAAGGCGACUGACUGGACAAGUAUUGACGCUGAGGUACGAAAGCGUGGGGAGCAAACAGGAUUAGAUACCCUGGUAGUCCACGCCGUAAACGAUGAUAACUAGCUGUUCGGGCACUUGGUGCUUGAGUGGCGCAGCUAACGCAUUAAGUUAUCCGCCUGGGGAUACGGUGCAAGNUUAAAACCUUAAAUGAAUUGACGGNUGAGAGNGCGAGAGACACGAGGAGAG
rnacentral:rRNA from 1 species